rnacentral:rRNA from 1 species
GCACAAAGUUAGCCGGUGCUUUCUCUAGUGGUACUGUCACCUCUUACUUCUAUUAAAAGUAAUUCUUUCUUCCCACUUAACAGAAGUUUACAAUCCGAAGACCGUCAUCCUUCACGCGGCGUCGCUGCAUCAGGGUUUCCCCCAUUGUGCAAUAUUCCUGA